rnacentral:rRNA from 1 species
UACGUAGGGUGCAAGCGUUAAUCGGAAUUACUGGGCGUAAAGCGUGCGCAGGCGGCUUUGCAAGACAGAUGUGAAAUCCCCGGGCUCAACCUGGGAACUGCAUUUGUGACUGCAUGGCUAGAGUGCGGCAGAGGGGGAUGGAAUUCCACGUGUAGCAGUGAAAUGCGUAGAGAUGUGGAGGAACACCGAUGGCGAAGGCAGCCCCCUGGGUCAAGAUUGACGCUCAUGCACGAAAGCGUGGGGAGCAAACAGG